rnacentral:lncRNA from 1 species
GACGCGCCGCGAGCCCUCGCGUCCCUCCCCCUCCCACACACCCCGGAUCCCGGCGACCCACGUGCAGCCCGACCGCCGCUGGCGCCGCACCUCGGGGUCGCCGCUUCUCCCGGCGCUUUCUGGACGCAGCCCCACGACGGGGACCCCUUUGGGGCGGCCCCCGCGAGGCUGCAACGGGACUCGGGGCGUCCCGGAGCGCCGGCGCGGGGACGCUGCGGCCGGCUGGCACACAAAGGAGGCGGCGGGAAGGCGGGGCCGGGCGGGCCGGGGGCGGGGGCGGCAGGAAGGGGCGGGGGCGGGCGGGCGGUGAUAAAGCCCCCGCCGCCGCGGCCGCCCAGCUCGCGCCGCGGGGUGACGGGCUGCUCGGCGUCUGCAGCCGCCACCGCCUCGUUGCUCCCGGACCCUCCUCGCCGCCGCCGCCGCCGCCCUCCCUCCGCCGACUCCCCGCCCCGCCGACACCCGGCUCCGGCUCGGGCCGCGCCGCCCUCCGCGGCCGCCACCUGGGAUCGUGAGCGAGGGGCGGUGAGUACGGGCUGCGCGCCCCGCGGCCGAGACGGGCGCCCGGGGGCGGGGGGCGCGCCGGGCUCUGCCCCUGCGCCGGGGACGGUCCCGGGGCUCCGCGCCGCGACCUUGCGCCCGGCCUGCAGGCUGCGGGGCGGCGGGGCCCGGGCGCCGACGUCGAGGCGGAGGAACUUUCUCGCCGCCCUCGGCUGCCUCGGCCAAAGCUGCGUGCGCGCCCGGUGCCCGCGGGGACCCCGAGCAGGACGCGGGCAGGGCGAGGAGGGGCCGCGCCGGCCGUGGCGCCCAGGUGUGCCCGCAGCUGGGAGUCCUGGCGCCGGCGUGGCUUCUGCCGGUCCAUCCAGGCUGGCGCCCGUGACCCUGAACCUGAGGUACCCAGGUACUCGCGGGCGUCCCCUACCCGGUACUUCGGGUGUGCGCCGCCAGGAUAGGGAAAGACAAACGGACUCUUACUUGUUACCAGCGGCUGAGCAGGGUGGGGGUGACCAGUGGUUUGCGGGAGAGCCUUUAAAUUGGCUUCUGGCACCCGAUUUAACCCUUCUGGAGCAGGUCUUUGCGAUUUUCAUCAUCUGUAGAAAUGGGAAUUGCGGUGCUGAUUAG